rnacentral:lncRNA from 1 species
AAAGGACAUUAUCUAACUGGUUUAUGCAUCUUAUUUCUUUCUUCUUCUCCAUUGUUUUAAAGGCCGAAAGAGAAGUCAAGAAACAUCAGAACGAUGAAAUUGCUUCUUGUGGCAUAAUUAAGUAAUACGGUCUUGCAUCCAAUGAAGAGCCAAAGAGACAUAGGGACGAUUCACACUAUGAAUCAAUUUCAAUCUCCUUUCUACAACUCAAAAUUCUAUCUUGAAGAUCGUUGUUGAAGAAUGAACAAAAGGUCUCAUGCUCACAAUCUUAUAGUUGUCUCAAGUGAUUUGUAAAAAAAUGGAGUUGGAGUUUGGCUUUAAAUCCGAACUUCAACGCCAUCUUUUUUUCAGAUUAUUUGAGACAACCAUAAGAACCUAAAAUGUGAGUUUCUUAUCUUUGAUUCGUUCUUUGCUCCACAAUCUUCAAGUGUGAGUUUUGGAUUAUAGAAAGGCGAUUUGAUUGAUUCAUGGUGAAUCAUCUUUAUAACUAGCCUACUUUUCUUGGAUUCAUGAUAGGAUGCAGAAUUAGAUAUGGUUAUAUAAAAUAGUAGAACUCCAAAAAUAAUACUACAAAGGAACAAUUCCACUACAAGUAUCUACUCUUGGUCAUUCAUUCAUACAUACAUACAUACAUGUGUAUAUUCUUUAGUUGUAUUGAAUUAUAAUAUAGCUAAGAUACUUUAUAUUACUUUCCGAUAGUCGCAUAUACAUGUGUAUAUUCUUUACACAUGAAAAUUAAAAAUACAAGUUACUAAAAUAUGAUUGUUGAUUCUCGUUAGCUAGCUAAUAAAGGUUAGAAUUUGAUGUUGAAUUAAAAGUAUAAUAAUGGUAAGGAGACCUAGUAUCUGAUUAGCAAUAGAUUUAAUUAGAAUAUGCAUGGUUAUGAGAGAAUUUCUUCUUUUCUUCUGCUUUGGUUUCUUGGCUCAAUCUCUUCAACUUUCCAGCUCUGUUUGCUCUAUGGACUCUUCUCAUGGGUGCCAUUGGGAUGGAAAUUCAAUAAUUCUUCCAAAUCGCUGCAACUAAGAACCUAAUAUCAUAAACACACAAAAUUAGCUACCUUUAACACUUAGAUCAUCAAGCAAUGUAUCAAAGGCGUGAAACAUAAUGGAAAAGAAAAGAAAAUAUAUAUACACACACACAAAUAUUCAAGUUAUCAACUCUCACAAUAAUAUGAAUUGCUGUAAGUUCUAUUGUCGUAUAACUUCGUAUAUGUAUGCUAUACGNNNNNNNNNNNNNNNNNNNNNNNNNNNNNNNNNNNNNNNNNNNNNNNNNNNNNNNNNNNNNNNNNNNNNNNUAUAUAUAUAUAUAUAUAUAUAUAUAUAUGGGGCAAUGGGGGUUUUCAUUAGAAGAAAGUCAGUUAUUCAACUCUCACCGUGCACAAAACCGUCAAGCUUAAAUUGAAUUUCUUUUUCUACUAACAAACCAACUCAAAUUAGUUAAAGAAUAUGCAAUGAUAGUUGCAAAUUACAUACCAGCAGCACAUUUAGGAUUAGCACAAUACAUGAUGGAAAUUAGUAGAUAUACCGCCACGAAAGGAUUGAAAAUCAUUGAAAAAAACUUUUAAGAAGGCAAAACGAAAAAGUAGAAUACUAAUCUUAAAUUUGACAAGGGAGCAAGGCCGACUCUAACGUUGUUCCAACUAAGGCUUUUGCCUUAGGCCCCAAAUUUUGGGGCCCAGUUUUUAGAACUAAUAAG